rnacentral:rRNA from 1 species
CUCGUAGGUGGCCAAUUAAGUCAGACGUGAAAUCCCCAAGCUUAACUUGGGAACUGCGUCUGAUACUGAGUGGCUUGAAUUCGGGAGAGGGAUGCAGAAUUCCAGGUGUAGCGGUGAAAUGCGUAGAUAUCUGGAGGAAUACCGGUGGCGAAGGCGGCAUCCUGGACCGAGAUUGACACUGAGGAGCGAAAGCCAGGGAGCAA